UACGUAGGGUGCAAGCGUUGUCCGGAAUUAUUGGGCGUAAAGAGCUCGUAGGCGUUUUGUCGCGUCUGCUGUGAAAACUCAGGGCUUAACCCUGAGCCUGCAGUGGGUACGGGCAGACUAGAGUGUGGUAGGGGAGAUCGGAAUUCCUGGUGUAGCGGUGGAAUGCGCAGAUAUCAGGAGGAACACCGGUGGCGAAGGCGGAUCUCUGGGCCAUAACUGACGCUGAGGAGCGAAAGCAUGGGGAGCGAACAGG
rnacentral:rRNA from 1 species